rnacentral:rRNA from 1 species
CUUGUGUAGCAAAAUGCAAUACUUGGUGUGAAUUGCAGAAUCCCGUGAAUCAUCGAGUCUUUGAAUGCAAGUUGCACCCGAGGCCGUAGGCUGAGGGCAUGCCUGCCUAGGCAUCA